rnacentral:misc_RNA from 1 species
AGGGUUUUUWUUUUAUACUUUAAACCYYGAAKUUAUUUUUUAAAUGUUUAUAUUAUUUGAAUAAAACAUUCAAAUAAUAUAAAAAAUAAUAUAUAUAUUGACAUGGAUUAAACAAAGAUAUAUAUUAUUUUAUGUUGUWUAAACAAAUUGGCAAAAUAGAGAUGGAAGAUAAAAAUAUGGUCAAAGUAAUAAGAGUCUAUGGUGGAUGCCUAGGAGCUUUAAGGSGAAGAAGGUSGUGGUAAGSUGMGAAAAGCKUGGGGGG